AUCCGUAGUCAUACGUUUACCUUAUGACCCAUUGUGGAUCAUGGUCAUAAAGGCUCUGAGGGGAUCCCAGCAUGCAGAGAAACUGGAUUUGUUCACGGUUCAUCCAUCAUUCAGCAGUGGGGCUGGAUGACAGAAGCCUCAUGAAACAGUCUACAUUUCUGAAUGAAAAAGCUUCUUCAGCAACCCCUGACUGGCAGAUUAAGGAAAGAGACUCUACUUAGCCUUAUCAUUUUUUCUUGCCUUAGAGAUGGAGGGUGGGAAUUGUUUUUGGUGGUCGGUAUGCAGUGCUUAAAAAUCUUCUAUUUAUUAAAGAGAAGCUAUGUUGUGGUUAUACAGAUUACCCAGCUGCGGUUAACAUAUAUGAAAACCAUUUCCUGAGUGCAGUGAAAAAGAAAGUGUUCUGCUUUCUCUACCAGACUACGUGGGAACAGAUAUUCCUCUUUAUUGAAAUCCAUUGCAUUGCUUUAGCGAAGUGACACCUCGGGCUCAGGCUGGAAACAACCCCCUUCUUUUGAUCACCC
rnacentral:lncRNA from 1 species